UUAUCCUCUGUUACUCCGCAAGGGGUCUCUGAGGAAACUGCCGGCGAUGAGCUGGAGGAAGGUGGGGAUGACGUCAAGUCAUCAUGGCCCUUAUGUCCAGGGCUACACACGUGCUACAAUGGGUACUACAGAGGGUUGCAAUACCGCAAGUGGAGCCAAUCCCUAAAAGUAUUCGUAGUUGGGAUCGGAGUCUGCAACUCGACUCCGUGAACCUGGAAUCGCUAGUAAUCGCGGAUCAGCACGCCGCGGUGAAUACGUUCCCGGGCCUU
rnacentral:rRNA from 1 species